rnacentral:rRNA from 1 species
AACGCGAAGAACCUUACCUGGGUUUGACAUACACCGGAUCGCCGCAGAGAUGCGGUUUCCCUUGUGGUCGGUGUACAGGUGGUGCAUGGCUGUCGUCAGCUCGUGUCGUGAGAUGUUGGGUUAAGUCCCGCAACGAGCGCAACCCUUGUCUUAUGUUGCCAGCACGUAAUGGUGGGGACUCGUAAGGGACUGCCGGGGUCAACUCGGAGGAAGGUGGGGACGACGUCAAGUCAUCAUGCCCCUUAUGUCCAGGGCUUCACACAUGCUACUAUGGUCGGUACAGAGGGCUGCGAGACCGUGAGGUUAAGCGAAUCCCUUAAAGCCGGCCUCAGUUCGGAUUGGGGUCUGCAACUCGACCCCAUGAAGUCGGAGCCGCUAGUAAUCGCAGAUCAGCAACGCUGCGGUGAACACGUUCCCGGGCCUUGUACACACCG